GUCUUAUGUGUUUCUCGUUUCACGUUUUUAUAUAGAUAAGAUCGUUGGUUUUGCUGUUUGAUUCUUAUUACACAGUUAUUUUGGGGUCCUUUAUAGCUUGCUGUUGGUGUGAGCCAAUGCGUCAUGUUGAAGACCUGGUGUGAAAAAUGCUCCGUGUUGAUGAUAUACUUAUGUAAAUUGUUUAUACAUUAUAACUUGGACGGAGAGUUGUCUCAUUG
rnacentral:lncRNA from 1 species